rnacentral:other from 1 species
AGUAGGACUAGCAUAAUGAGGGGGGUAGCAACAGUGGUGAGUUCGUUGGAUGGCUUAAGCCCUGAGUACAGGGUAGUCGUCAGUGGUUCGACGCCUUGGAAUAAAGGUCUCGAGAUGCCACGUGGACGAGGGCAUGCCCAAAGCACAUCUUAACCUGAGCGGGGGUCGCCCAGGUAAAAGCAGUUUUAACCGACUGUUACGAAUACAGCCUGAUAGGGUGCUGCAGAGGCCCACUGUAUUGCUACUAAAAAUCUCUGCUGUACAUGGCACAUGGAGUU